rnacentral:misc_RNA from 1 species
AACGCACCUUGCGCCCCUUGGCAUUCCGAGGGGCACGCCCGUUUGAGUGUCGUGAACAUCUCAACCUUUACGGUUUUUCUUCCGUGAAGGCUUGGUCGUUGGAGGCUUUUGCUGGAAUCCCACGGGAAGCCAGCUCCUCUCAAAUGAAUUAGCAGGGUCCUCUUUGCCGAUCCUCGACGUGUGAUAAGAUGUUUUCCAUGUCUUGGGCUUCUGGCUCUGUCACCUUUUGGGACCCGCUUCUAAUGGUCUCGUCGUCGAGACAAUGUCGGGAAGGGCGUCUUUGUACGCUCGACCCCACGAGAACCCACUUGACCUCAAAUCGGGUGAGACUACCCGCUGAACUUAA